AUUGAACGCUGGCGGCAGGCCUAACACAUGCAAGUCGAACGAGUGGCGGACGGGUGUGUAAUGUCUGGGAAACUGCCCGAUGGAGGGGGAUAACUACUGGAAACGGUAGCUAAUACCGCAUACUAUCGGAUGCGCCCAGAUGGGUUGAGCUAGUGGGGGGGGUAACGGCUCACCUGGGCGACGAUCCCUAGCUGGUCUGAGAGGAUGACCAGCCACACUGGAACUGAGACACGGUCCAGACUCCUACGGGAGGCAGCAGUGGGGAAUAUUGCACAAUGGGCGCAAGCCUGAUGCAGCCAUGCCGCGUGUAUGAAGAAGGCCUUCGGGUUGUAAAGUACUUUCAGCGAGGAGGCGUUACUCGCAGAAGAAGCACCGGCUAACUCCGUGCCAGCAGCCGCGGUAAUAC
rnacentral:rRNA from 1 species